GUAGGUGGCAAGCGUUGUCCGGAAUUAUUGGGCGUAAAGCGCGCGCAGGCGGUCCUUUAAGUCUGAUGUGAAAGCCCACGGGCUCAACCGUGGAGGGUCAUUGGAAACUGGGGGACUUGAGUACAGAAGAGGAAAGCGGAAUUCCAAGUGUAGCGGUGAAAUGCGUAGAGAUUUGGAGGAACACCAGUGGCGAAGGCGGCUUUCUGGUCUGUAACUGACGCUGAGGCGCGAAAGCGUGGGGAGCAAACAGGAUUAGAUACCCUGGUAGUCCACGCCGUAGACGAUGAGUGCUAAGUGUUAGGGGGUUUCCGCCCCUUAGUGCUGCAGCUAACGCAUUAAGCACUCCGCCUGGGGAGUACGGCCGCAAAGGCUG
rnacentral:rRNA from 1 species